rnacentral:rRNA from 1 species
GGUCAUGCAGUCGAUUAGCCAUGCUAGUUGCACGAGUUCAUACUCGUGGCGAAAGCUCAGUAACACGUGGCCAAACUACCCUACAGAGAACGAUAACCUCGGGAAACUGAGGCUAAUAGUUCAUACGGGAGUCAUGCUGGAAUGCCGACUCCCCGAAACGCUCAGGCGCUGUAGGAUGUGGCUGCGGCCGAUUAGGUAGACGGUGGGGUAACGGCCCACCGUGCCGAUAAUCGGUACGGGUUGUGAGAGCAAGAGCCCGGAGACGGAAUCUGAGACAAGAUUCCGGGCCCUACGGGGCGCAGCAGGCGCGAAACCUUUACACUGCACGCAAGUGCGAUAAGGGGACCCCAAGUGCGAGGGCAUAUAGUCCUCGCUUUUCACGACUGUAAGGCGGUCGUGGAAUAAGAGCUGGGCAAGACCGGUGCCAGCCGCCGCGGUAAUACCGGCAGCUCAAGUGAUGACCGAUAUUAUUGGGCCUAAAGCGUCCGUAGCCGGCCACGAAGGUUCAUCGGGAAAUCCGCCAGCUCAACUGGCGGGCGUCCGGUGAAAACCACGUGGCUUGGGACCGGAAGGCUCGAGGGGUACGUCCGGGGUAGGAGUGAAAUCCCGUAAUCCUGGACGGACCACCGAUGGCGAAAGCACCUCGAGAAGACGGAUCCGACGGUGAGGGACGAAAGCUAGGGUCUCGAACCGGAUUAGAUACCCGGGUAGUCCUAGCUGUAAACGAUGCUCGCUAGGUGUGGCACAGGCUACGAGCCUGUGUUGUGCCGUAGGGAAGCCGAGAAGCGAGCCGCCUGGGAAGUACUC